rnacentral:lncRNA from 1 species
CGUCCGUUCGUUCGUUCGUCCGUCCGUCUGUCCCGCUUCAGGUUAAAGUUUUUGUCGAGGUAGUUUUUGAUGAAGUUGAAGUCCAACCAACUCGAAACUUAGUAAAUAUGUUCCCUAUGAUAUGAUCUUUCUAAUUUUAAAGCUAAAUUAGAGAUUUUACCCCAUUUCACGUUUCACUAAACAUAGUAAAUGAUAGUGCCAAUGUGGCAUCUGU